rnacentral:rRNA from 1 species
UACGGAGGGUGCGAGCGUUGUCCGGAAUCAUUGGGCGUAAAGGGCGCGUAGGUGGCGGGACAAGCGUGCGGUGAAAGCUCGGGGCUCAACCCCGAGUCGGCCGUGCGAACUGUUUUGCUUGAGCACUGUAGAGGCAGACGGAAUUCCGGGUGUAGCGGUGGAAUGCGUAGAGAUCCGGAAGAACACCGGUGGCGAAGGCGGCCUGCUGGGCAGUAGCUGACACUGAGGUGCGAAAGCGUGGGGAGCAAACAGG